AUUGAACGCUGGCGGCAUGCUUUACACAUGCAAGUCGAACGGUAACAGGCCGCAAGGUGCUGACGAGUGGCGAACGGGUGAGUAAUGCAUCGGAACGUGCCCAGUCGUGGGGGAUAACUACUCGAAAGAGUAGCUAAUACCGCAUACGAUCUAUGGAUGAAAGCGGGGGACCGUAAGGCCUCGCGCGAUUGGAGCGGCCGAUGUCAGAUUAGGUAGUUGGUGGGGUAAAGGCUCACCAAGCCAACGAUCUGUAGCUGGUCUGAGAGGACGACCAGCCACACUGGGACUGAGACAAGGCCCAGACUCCUACGGGAGGCAGCAGUGGGGAAUUUUGGACAAUGGGCGCAAGCCUGAUCCAGCAAUGCCGCGUGCAGGAAGAAGGCCUUCGGGUUGUAAACUGCUUUUGUACGGAACGAAACGGCUCUGGUUAAUACCCGGGGCUAAUGACGGUACCGGAAGAAUAAGCACCGGCUAACUACGUG
rnacentral:rRNA from 1 species